rnacentral:rRNA from 1 species
AGGUAUAGACCCGAAACCCGGUGAUCUAGCCAUGGGCAGGUUGAAGGUUGGGUAACACUAACUGGAGGACCGAACCGACUAAUGUUGAAAAAUUAGCGGAUGACUUGUGGCUGGGGGUGAAAGGCCAAUCAAACCGGGAGAUAGCUGGUUCUCCCCGAAAGCUAUUUAGGUAGCGCCUCGUGAACUCAUCUUCGGGGGUAGAGCACUGUUUCGGCUAGGGGGCCAUCCCGGCUUACCAAACCGAUGCAAACUCCGAAUACCGAAGAAUGUUAUCACGGGAGACACACGGCGGGUGCUAACGUCCGUCGUGAAGAGGGAAACAACCCAGACCGCCAGCUAAGGUCCCAAAGUCAUGGUUAAGUGGGAAACGAUGUGGGAAGGCACAGACAGCCAGGAUGUUGGCUUAGAAGCAGCCAUCAUUUAAAGAAAGCGUAAUAGCUCACUGGUCGAGUCGGCCUGCGCGGAAGAUGUAACGGGGCUAAACCAUGCACCGAAGCUGCGGCAGCGACGCUUAGGCGUUGUUGGGUAGGGGAGCGUUCUGUAAGCCGUUGAAGGUGGCCUGUGAGGGUUGCUGGAGGUAUCAGAAGUGCGAAUGCUGACAUAAGUAACGAUAAAGCGGGUGAAAAGCCCGCUCGCCGGAAGACCAAGGGUUCCUGUCCAACGUUAAUCGGGGCAGGGUGAGUCGACCCCUAAGGCGAGGCUGAAAAGCGUAGUCGAUGGGAAACAGGUUAAUAUUCCUGUACUUGGUGUUACUGCGAAGGGGGGACGGAGAAGGCUAGGCUAGCCGGGCGACGGUUGUCCCGGUUUAAGCGUGUAGGGGGUGUGACCUGGUAAAUCCGGUUGCAUACUAACCCUGAGGCGUGAUGACGAUGCACUACGGUGCAGAAGUAGUUGAUGCCCUGCUUCCAGGAAAAUCCUCUAAGCUCCAGGUAACAUUAAAUCGUACCCCAAACCGACACAGGUGGUCAGGUAGAGAAUACCAAGGCGCUUGAGAGAACUCGGGUGAAGGAACUAGGCAAAAUGGUGCCGUAACUUCGGGAGAAGGCACGCUGGCAUGUAGGUGAAGUCCCUUGCGGAUGGAGCUGAAGCCAGUCGAAGAUACCAGCUGGCUGCAACUGUUUAAUAAAAACACAGCACUGUGCAAACACGAAAGUGGACGUAUACGGUGUGACGCCUGCCCGGUGCUGGAAGGUUAAUUGAUGGGGUCAGCCGCAAGGCGAAGCUCUUGAUCGAAGCCCCAGUAAACGGCGGCCGUAACUAUAACGGUCCUAAGGUAGCGAAAUUCCUUGUCGGGUAAGUUCCGACCUGCACGAAUGGCGUAAUGAUGGCCAGGCUGUCUCCACCCGAGACUCAGUGAAAUUGAACUCGCUGUGAAGAUGCAGUGUACCCGCGGCAAGACGGAAAGACCCCGUGAACCUUUACUAUAGCUUGACACUGAACAUUGAGCCUUGAUGUGUAGGAUAGGUGGGAGGCUUUGAAGCGUGGACGCCAGUCUGCGUGGAGCCAUCCUUGAAAUACCACCCUUUAAUGUUUGAUGUUCUAACUCGGCCCCAUAAUCUGGGGUGAGGACAGUGUCUGGUGGGUAGUUUGACUGGGGCGGUCUCCUCCCAAAGAGUAACGGAGGAGCACGAAGGUUAGCUAAUCACGGUCGGACAUCGUGAGGUUAGUGCAAAGGCAUAAGCUAGCUUGACUGCGAGAGUGACGGCUCGAGCAGGUACGAAAGUAGGUCUUAGUGAUCCGGUGGUUCUGAAUGGAAGGGCCAUCGCUCAACGGAUAAAAGGUACUCCGGGGAUAACAGGCUGAUACCGCCCAAGAGUUCAUAUCGACGGCGGUGUUUGGCACCUCGAUGUCGGCUCAUCACAUCCUGGGGCUGAAGUAGGUCCCAAGGGUAUGGCUGUUCGCCAUUUAAAGUGGUACGCGAGCUGGGUUUAGAACGUCGUGAGACAGUUCGGUCCCUAUCUGCCGUGGGCGUUGGAAGAUUGAGAGGGGUUGCUCCUAGUACGAGAGGACCGGAGUGAACGCACCACUGGUGUUCGGGUUGUCAUGCCAAUGGCAUUGCCCGGUAGCUAAGUGCGGAAAAGAUAAGCGCUGAAAGCAUCUAAGCGCGAAACUUGCCUCAAGAUGAGUCUUCCCUGGGCCUUUAAGGCCCCUGAAGGAACGUUUAAGACUAAGACGUUGAUAGGCUGGGUGUGUAAGUGCAGCGAUGCAUUGAGCUAACCAGUACUAAUGAUCCGUGAGGCUUAACCUU